UCGUCCCGAAAGAAAGCCCGUUAUGCAAAAUACACAAAGAAAACUUCAUAUUCUACUGCGUUGACUGUGUCAUACCAAUCUGUAAAAUGUGUAUCGUCAAAAAUCACAAAAAUCAUUAUACGUCUGAAAUCAACGAAUCGACACAGGAAUUACAGGUUGAAGUGAAAAAGGUCAUGGACUCACGGAUUAAAUGUGUCAAAACAAAUCUAGAAAAAAUUGAACAAGGCACGGUAAAGUAUCAGAGCGACAUAAACGAAGCUAUUUGCGCUAUCACAGAAGAUGGGAAACAGAUGAAGCAGUGGAUUGACCAGAAAGUGAAAGCCCUCACAACAUCAUUGGAAGAAAAAGGGACAGCAAACCUGAAGGCCUUACAAUCAAUUAGAACUGAUUUUCAAAAUGAUUUAAAAAAGUUACACAAAUGUCAGACUGCCUUUACCGAGAGCCAGAAACUUGCCGAUGUAACUAAACUUCUGACACAACUGAAACAUAUUAAAUCCGAGUUAGACAUUGCAGGUGAAAAACAGUCACCAGUCAUGUCGACAGUAAAAUAUUACAAAAAGAAUGUAUCAGAACGAGAAAUAUUCAUUCUAUUUGGAGACCUAUCAUUCCGAAAACAGUCAGAAAAGACACUGUUCAGAUACCAAAUGUGACCAUUGUUGGGAAGAAAGACUUUCUGAGUAGGUAUCAGUAAAUAUCUUCAACAAGCUAUUGAAAAAAAAAUCAU